GACGAACGCUGGCGGCGUGCUUAACACAUGCAAGUCGAACGAAGUGGCGAACGGGUGAGUAACGCGUAAUCAAACUGCCCUUCAGAGGGGGACAACAGUUGGAAACGAGUGCUAAUCCCGCAUACUGAAGGACGGUCUUGCGUCUGAUUAGCUAGUUGGAGGGGGAACGGCCCACCAAGGCGAUGAUCAGUAGCCGGUCUGAGAGGAGGAACGGCCACAUUGGGACUGAGACACGGCCCAGACUCCUACGGGAGGCAGCAGUGGGGAAUCUUCCGCAAUGGACGAAAGUCUGACGGAGCAACGCCGCGUGAGUGAUGACGGCCUUCGGGUUGUAAAGCUCUGUUAAUCGGGACGCGGUACCGGAAUAGAAAGCCACGGCUAACUACGUGCCAGCAGCCGCGGUAAUAC
rnacentral:rRNA from 1 species